rnacentral:lncRNA from 1 species
UUUUUUUUUUUUUUUUUUAGCUCUCAUUUCUACGGCAUGCUUUCCAAGGAACCAAAGGAGGGUCUCAGAGAUGCCCCAAACAUCCCAAAGUACACAAAGCUAAGUAAUCGAUUGCUUACUUACUGCACAGCUAGACACGGAUUUUAAGUCUAUCUUAAAGCUUUGAAGCAAGCUUAGCUUCUCAAAGGCCUAGCAGAGCCUUGGCACCCCAGGAUCCUUUCUGUAGGCUAAUUCCUCUUAUCCAGCGGCAUAUGGAGUAUCCUUAUUGCUAAAGAGGAUUCUGGCUCCUUUAAGGAAGUUUGAUUUCUGAUUCAGAGUCCUUGUUUCCCUGACUUGCUCUGCCAGCCCUGCACCAGCUUUUUCGAAGUGCACUAUGCUUGUGUUUAACUUCUCCCAGUUUUAUUUGGGCAUAAAAGUUGUUGCCUUUAUUUGUAAAGCUGUUAUAAAUAUAUAUUAUAUAAAUAUAUGACAAAGGAAAAUGUUUCAGAUGUCUAUUUGUAUAAUUACUUGAUCUACACAGUGAGGAAAAAAAUGAAUGUAUUUCUGUUUUUGAAGAGAAUAAUUUUUUUUCUCUAGGGAGAGGAGAGGUUACAGUGUUUAUAUUUUGGAGCCUUCCUGAAGGUGUGAAAUUGUAAAUAUUUUUAUCUAAGUAAAUGUUAAGUAGUUGUUUUAAAAAGACUUAAUAAAAUAAGCUUUUUCCUGUGG